rnacentral:misc_RNA from 1 species
GAAGAAGUGUAAUGCUAGCUCUUUGGUGUUGCUGAAGAGGGUGCCAGACGAAUCAUCUAGAAACAUUCAGGAGGUAGUGGAAGGUGAGAGAGAUUUUAAGAGACGUAAAAUAGUUCCAGCUGCCUUGGAGGGGAACACACAUGAUAUUACCAGGUGGAACGGAAAUUGGAUGGAUGAGAAGUAUGUGAGUGCUUCAUUUAACAAUUGGUCUGAUGGAUAUUAUGGUUCAAACCCUGCAAAAAGAAGUGGUACCAAUGGCUAUUCCCCUGCAAGAAUUGGAGAAUCUAAUGAUUCUGAUAGUGAUGCAUGCUCUGUUGGUAGUUGUAGUAUUAAUCAUGAGAGUCCAAAUAAAAUUUCUAGUUUUUCAGCUGAAGUUCAUUGUCAAGUACCUGAUCUUCUGUGCAGUGAUGCAGAGUCCUUUCAAAGUUCAGCAGAAGAACAUGAGGAGGAAAGCUGCCGUGUUUCUUCGGAGAAAAAUAUAGCAGGGAAUAUUCGUGACUUGGAGUUGCAUGCUUAUCGCUGCACUUUGGAGGCAUUGU